CCUACGGGAGGCAGCAGUGGGGAAUAUUGCACAAUGGGGGAAACCCUGAUGCAGCGACGCCGCGUGAGUGAAGAAGUAAUUCGUUACGUAAAGCUCUAUCAGCAGGGAAGAAACACUGACCUUCCGGUCAGCAGACGGUACCUGCGUAAGAAGCCCCGGCUAACUACGUGCCAGCAGCCGCGGUAAUACGUAGGGGGCAAGCGUUAUCCGGAUUUACUGGGUGUAAAGGGCGUGUAGCCGGGGUGACAAGUCAGCUGUGAAAGCCCGGGGGUCAAACCCCGAAGUGCAUUUGAAACUGUUGGGCUGGAGUAGCGGAGAGGCAGGCGGAAUUCGUAGUGUAGCGGUGAAAUGCGUAGAUAUUAGGAGGAACACCAGUGGCGAAGGCGGCCUGCUGGACGACAACUGACGGUGAGGCGCGAAAGCGUGGGGAGCAAACAGGAUUAGAUACCCGGGUAGUC
rnacentral:rRNA from 1 species